GUUAUAUGGUCAAGUGAAUAAGUGCAUACGACGGAUGCCUUGGCAUUAGAAGGCGAUGAAGGACGCGACAAUCUGCGAUAAGCUUCGGUUAGCUGAUAAUAAGCAUUAUUAGCCGGAGAUCUCCGAAUGGGAAAACCCAGCCAUCAUCAGAUGGUUAUCCUUAACUGAAUACAUAGGUUAAGGAGGCAAACCUAGGGAACUGAAACAUCUAAGUACCUAGAGGAAAAGAAAUCAACCGAGAUUCCCUUAGUAGCGGCGAGCGAACGGGGACCAGCCCUUAAGCCUAUUUUAAAUUACUAGAAUGUUCUGGAAAGUUCAACGAUACAGGGUGAUAGUCCCGUAUAGGAAAAUUUAAUUUAGGUGAAAUCGAGUAAGGCGGCGCACGUGAAACGCUGUUUGAAUAUGGGGGGACCACCCUCCAAGGCUAAAUACUCUCUAAUGACCGAUAGUGAACAAGUACCGUGAGGGAAAGGCGAAAAGAACCCCGGGAGGGGAGUGAAAUAGAACCUGAAAUCGUAUGCAUACAAGCAGUAGGAGCGGAUUUAUUCCGUGACUGCGUACCUUUUGUAUAAUGGGUCAGCGACUUACUUCUCAGUAGCAAGGUUAACCAUUAGGGGAGCCGUAGGGAAACCGAGUCUUAAAUGGGCGAUUAGUUGCUGGGAGUAGACCCGAAACCGGGUGAUCUAUCCAUGGUCAGGGUGAAGGUUAGGUAAAACUAACUGGAGGCCCGAACCCACCUAUGUUGAAAAAUGGGGGGAUGAACUGUGGAUAGGGGUGAAAGGCCAAACAAACCCGGAGAUAGCUGGUUCUCUCCGAAAUCUAUUUAGGUAGAGCGUCAUGUAUUACUUCAGGGGGUAGAGCACUGUUAUGGCUAGCGGGUCGUCAAGACUUAGUAAACCAUUGCAAACUCCGAAUACCUGAAAGUAUGAGCAUGGCAGACACACUGCGGGUGCUAACGUCCGUAGUGGAAAGGGAAACAACCCAGACCGUCAGCUAAGGUCCCAAAAUUGUAGUUAAGUGGGAAACGAUGUGAAAAGGCCCAGACAGCCAGGAGGUUGGCUUAGAAGCAGCCAUUCCUUUAAAGAGUGCGUAAUAGCUCACUGGUCGAGUCGGUUUGCGCGGAAGAUUUAACGGGGCUAAAACUACAUACCGAAGCUACGGAUCACAAUUUAUUGUGAUGGUAGGAGAGCGUUCUGUAAGCCGUUGAAGGUGUCCUGUGAGGGAUGCUGGAGGUAUCAGAAGUGCGAAUGCUGACAUGAGUAACGAUAAAGGGGGUGAAAAACCCCCUCGCCAGAAGUCCAAGGUUUCCUACGCAACGCUAAUCGGCGUAGGGUUAGUCGGCCCCUAAGGCGAGGCAGAAAUGCGUAGUCGAUGGGAAACAGGUUAAUAUUCCUGUACUUCAUAUAACUGCGAUGGGAAGACGGAGAAGGUUAGCGCAGCAAGGCGAUGGUUGUCCUUGUUUAAGCGUGUAGAUUGGCUAUUAGGAAAAUCCGGUAGCCUUUAUUCAAGGCGUGAUGACGAUCCCUUUCUUAGGAUUGGGAGAAGUGCGUGAUACCAUGCUUCCAGGAAAAUCCUCUAAGCUUCAGGUUAUAUGAAACCGUACCCCAAACCGACACAGGUGGACGAGAUGAGAAUUCUAAGGCGCUUGAGAGAACUCGGGUGAAGGAACUAGGCAAAAUGACACCGUAACUUCGGGAGAAGGUGUGCUCUUGCCGGUGAUUUUACUUGCUAAAUGAGCUGGUAAGAGUUGAAGAUACCAGGUGGCUCCGACUGUUUAUUAAAAACACAGCACUCUGCAAACACGUAAGUGGACGUAUAGGGUGUGACGCCUGCCCGGUGCUUGAAGGUUAAUUGAUGAGGUUAGGAUUUAUCCGAAGCUUUUGAUCGAAGCCCAAGUAAACGGCGGCCGUAACUAUAACGGUCCUAAGGUAGCGAAAUUCCUUGUCGGGUAAGUUCCGACCUGCACGAAUGGCGUAACGAGGGCCACACUGUCUCCACCCGAGACUCAGUGAAAUUGAAAUUGCUGUUAAGAUGCAGUAUACCCGCGGCCAGACGGAAAGACCCCGUGCACCUUUACUACAGCUUUGCAUUGAACUCUGAUCCUACCUGUGUAGGAUAGGUGGGAGGCUUUGAAACCCUGACGCUAGUUGGGGUGGAGCCACCCUUGAAAUACCACCCUGGUAUGGUUGGGGUUCUAACCUUGGUCCAUUAUCUGGAUUGGGGACAAUGCAUGGUGGGUAGUUUGACUGGGGCGGUCUCCUCCUAAAGAGUAACGGAGGAGCGCAAAGGUACCCUCAGCACGGUCGGACAUCGUGCAAUGAGCGCAAAGGUAAAAGGGUGCUUGACUGCGAGACUGACACGUCGAGCAGGUAGGAAACUAGGUCUUAGUGAUCCGGUGGUUCUGAGUGGAAGGACCAUCGCUCAACGGAUAAAAGGUACGCCGGGGAUAACAGGCUGAUACCGCCCAAGAGUUCACAUCGACGGCGGUGUUUGGCACCUCGAUGUCGGCUCAUCACAUCCUGGGGCUGAAGCAGGUCCCAAGGGUAUGGCUGUUCGCCAUUUAAAGUGGUACGCGAGCUGGGUUUAGAACGUCGUGAGACAGUUCGGUCCCUAUCUACCGUGGGCGUUGGAGACUUGAGGGAAGCUGUUCUUAGUACGAGAGGACCGGAAUGGACACACCUCUGGUGUUUCGGUUGUGACGCCAGUCGCAUUGCCGAGUAGCUAUGUGUGGAAAGGAUAACCGCUGAAAGCAUCUAAGCGGGAAGCCCCUCCCAAGAUUAGGUCUCCCUGGAUAUUUAAUAUCCCUAAAGAUCCCUCGAAGACUACGAGGUUGAUAGGCAGGGUGUGGAAGUGUAGUGAUACAUGAAGCUAACCUGUACUAAUUGAUCGUGAGGCUUGACCAUAUAACACCCAA
rnacentral:rRNA from 1 species